AUUGAACGCUGGCGGCAGGCCUAACACAUGCGAGUCGAGCGGAUGAAGGGAGCUUGCUCCUGGAUUCAGCGGGGGACGGGUGAGUAAUGCCUAGGAAUCUGCCUGGUAGUGGGGGAUAACGUCCGGAAACGGGCGCUAAUACCGCAUACGUCCUGAGGGAGAAAGUGGGGGAUCUUCGGACCUCACGCUAUCAGAUGAGCCUAGGUCGGAUUAGCUAGUUGGUGGGGUAAAGGCCUACCAAGGCGACGAUCCGUAACUGGUCUGAGAGGAUGAUCAGUCACACUGGAACUGAGACACGGUCCAGACUCCUACGGGAGGCAGCAGUGGGGAAUAUUGGACAAUGGGCGAAAGCCUGAUCCAGCCAUGCCGCGUGUGUGAAGAAGGUCUUCGGAUUGUAAAGCACUUUAAGUUGGGAGGAAGGGCAGUAAGUUAAUACCUUGCUGUUUUGACGUUACCAACAGAAUAAGCACCGGCUAACUUCGUG
rnacentral:rRNA from 1 species